rnacentral:piRNA from 1 species
UAAGAAAGGCAUUGUGCCGAAUGCACGGGU